CCGAGUGUCGGGCUCCGGCCCACCCUCCAACCCCAUGUAAUUCGACUCUGUUGCCUCGGGGGUGACCCGGCCUUCGGGCGUUGGGUGCCCCCGGUGGACCACUUAACUCUGCAUCUUUGCGUCUGAGUCUAAACGAAAAUAAAUCA
rnacentral:misc_RNA from 1 species